GCAGAAAGUAUACAAACACAUAACAUCCUUAUAGAAUAUACAACUUCACACAACUUCUUAACUUGUUUUAGGCACUUUUUACUGCUGUAGUGCAUGGGUUCUCUCUGGCUGUGUACCCUGGCUUCUUCCCACAGUCCAAAGAUGUAGCUUAUGGGGUUAGGUUAACUGGUGAUUCAAAACUGCCCUUUGGUGUGAAUGCAAAUGCUUGUCGUUCCAUGUUAGACUGGUGAUCUGUCCAGGUUGUACUGCCCUAUGGUAGCUGGUAUAGGCCCCAAACCUGCUACCCCACAAUCCUGAUAAGGAUAAGUGGAAGAGGAUGGAUGAUUGCAACGGAAUCAGUUGUUAAUUGGAGUGAGAGGCUGUCGCAGGGUAUCACAUUGACAGACUCUACCACACUCACACCUAUGGGCAAUUUAGAAUGACCAGUCCAGCAAACCCCACUAACUGCAUGUCUUUGGGCGGAAGCUGUAGUUGCCAGAUACAAGUCGGGUGAGAGGCAUUGUACACCCAUCAUAUUUGGAAUAGGUUCCAGCCGCAAGGAUAAGCAAAUAAGGAAGGAAUGCAUGUGCCGUUUUUAAGAAGCUGCAGUGUUUUAACUCAAUUUGCUAUUCUAGAUAACAACAAAGUGAAAGAAUCAGUUCCCCUAAUCCCAGUAAAAUGGUUCCAGUUGAAAAAAGUGAAGAGGUCGAUUGCGUUCAAAUUUUAUACUGGGAUGAAGUGUAUUAGUUGAUAUCUGCAACUGAAUUGAAAACACCUCACCUUUCCAACUGUCCAAAACAAAUAAAUAUUGCAAUAUUUGACUGACAGUGUCACAAUCAUCGUCUAGUGUGAACAACAAUAUCAUCUUUGGACAAGUGCAUUCAGUGUGUGGGACCGGUUUCCUCCCUCAAGUGGCUUGGCUAUAAGUGCAAAGUAGCAGGAACAUUAGAAGCUGCUGGAGUAACUGCUGCUGUUCUCCUGCCUGUCAUAUUCUUCUCUGUCUUCCUGUGGAUUCAGUGAGCAGAUCUGUUACAUUAUUGUUUACAAGAUAAACUUUGAUUUUAACAGUUUAUGAAUGUCAUUAUUUUGUUCAACAUUAAUUGUCCCAACCAGAAAAAAGAGGAUGUCCAAGGAACCUGUUAAAUCUGAAGACAGAGCAAACAACAUAGAACAGUGAGACGGGAGAGGAGAGGGGGGGCUGGAAAAAGCUGAGACGGGCGCUGACCAGACUGUGAACUGUCACAAAAAAAGGCAGAAAUAAACGUGACAUCUUGCUGUAUCGAGCCGUGUGUGUGUGGAGUGCAUUCUACAAAUACGUACAGAGAAAAACCCAACAGUCAUACGACCCCUUAUGAGCAGGCACUUUGGCGACAGUGGGAAGGAAAAACUCCCUUUUAACAGAAAGAAACCUCCAGCAGAACCAGGCUCAGGGAGGGGCGGCCAUCUGCUGGGACCAGUUGAGAGAAGGUAUACAGAACAAAAGACCUGCUGUGAGAGCCAGAGAUGAAUAAAUAGUAUAAUGAAGUGUACCCAGAGGUUGCCCUUUGUUCAAAAUUAAAGUCUACAAAUCAAUGACAUCA